GGUGCCAGCAGCCGCGUAAUUCCAGNUCCAAUAGCGUAUAUUAAAGUUGUUGCAGUUAAAAGCUCGUAGUUGAAUUUCGGGAUCAGCAGGUUGGUCUUGCCACUGGUAUGUACUAGCUUGCUGAUUCCUCCUUCUUGUAGAACCGUAAUGCCAUUAAUUUGGUGUUGCGGGGAAACAGGACUGUUACUUUGAAAAAAUUAGAGUGUUUAAAGCAGGCCAGCGCCUGAAUACAUUAGCAUGGAAUAAUGAAAUAGGACGUUCGAACCUAUUUUGUUAGGUUUCUAGGAUUGACGUAAUGAUUAAUAGGGAUAGUUGGGGGCAUUAGUAUUCAAUUGUCAGAGGUGAAAUUCUUGGAUUUAUUGAAGACUGACUACUGCGAAAGCAUUUGCCAAGGAUGUUUUCAUUAAUCAAGAACGAAAGUUAGGGGAUCGAAGACGAUCAGAUACCGUCGUAGUCUUAACCAUAAACUAUGCCGACUAGGGAUCGGAUGAUGUUAAUUUUUUAAUGACUCAUUCGGCGCCUUACG
rnacentral:rRNA from 1 species